GCGUAAUAUGAUGGUCGUAACGCGGCGUUUCUUAUUUAUCUUUUCAUCGCUCUGUGUUCUCAGCUUCCUACUGAACCAGCAAUCAAUCGGUGCCGUAUCCAUUCUACGGAUUCGAGCGAUUCAUACAUCUUCUUCCUACUGAUCAGAAAUCGAUCGGUUAUGGAUUCGUUGCUAUUAAAUUCUUUCUUAAAUCCAUCGUACAUGAUCUAUCUUAAAUGCCAUCUUUUUUCUUCGAAGGAGGCGGAGGUUCGACUAUAAAAAGUCCGGUACUUUAUUGCGUUUCUGGGAGUCGAGGAAUAUCAGGCGCGAUGAUGAACUGAUGUCUGUUGAUAUGCUCCUCCUUGAUUCAAAUGUGAGUUAUGUUUUUGAAUUUCCGAUAGUCUCGAAUUUGAUGAAAGGAUUUUCCGACAGUCACUCCGUGACGGAGUUACUUGCAAUCGUGGCGUUCAAUAACCUCAACCAAAAAAACUCUGUAUAUUCCUGAUAUGGUUGCUUCUGUCUGGACGGUCAUGGAUGUUCCUCUUCACCAUUCAAGUGCGGUUGCUCCGGAUCUGGGAAGCCGUCAGAUAGGGUGGCGAGCUGAUGGAGUGGAUAUGCAGUCUACCUCUGUUCUCUUCCCAGAGGCGGUACUGUUUCUUUGGUGUGUCUGAUUUUAUUGGUGUUGGGGUUUUUGUUGUUCGGUUUUGUUCUUAGGGUUUAUGUAGCCAUCAAAUUUUCAGCAAAAGUAGAUAAGAUUUGUUUGUUCACGCUUAGCGUUGUAUUUUCUUUUUGUUCACAGAGAUUGGGGAGCAGUUUGAUUUAAGUUCGACCUGUGACAAUGGUGGCGGCUGGUAUCGACAUGGAUGAAUGAGCUACUUAGAUAGGAAUGUGUAUGUUGAUUUGAUUUUGAUCUAUAGAUACCGAUCAUGGAUACAAUUUCUCUAAAUUUGGUUGACUAACAUAUAGUGUAGCUGGUUUUCUUCGUUGAUCACAUAUCAAUCGUCUUUUGUACCUGACAUGAUAGCUACCGUAUUAUCUUUCUAUGAGACUGAUUUGAGAAUCUUUGAAUUGUGUAGACUACAUGACUGUCUCAGGUGUUGCAGGACUUAGUGAUCUUUAAAAAAGUGAAGGGUCCUACGUACCAAGAGAUUGUUAAUAUUCUAUUAGGAGAUGGAUCUAUGAGACAUCCACUUCAGGAACAUCUCCAAGUGGUGUUGUCAACAAGAAACCUCAGGCAUCAAAGUCUUCAUCUAAAGAAUAGGUGAACAUGAGGGCUGUGAUGCGGUAAUUGCAAUUUCAAUAAUGAUUAGGGUCUCUAAUGAUUAUGUAUUAGCGUUGGUUUUUCUUUUAAAAUAUAUCCUCUUAUGGAGUUUUGUAUGUUUAAAAAAAAACUAAAAGUAUAAUAAAAAUGUUUUUUGAAGUUU